GAAAGAAUACUGGGCAUGCUCCUUCUGACCAUAGCUCUUGGCCACUCCAGGAGACAUCUCCUGUAUCAUAACAGUUCAUCCACCAGAGCCUCAGAGGGGAAGGCACGUCUGCAGGAAAGAAUGAGUCUAAGUGGACGCAGUCGAAAGUCAAUGGACCACAGGAAAUAUAUCCAGGAGGAAAUGAACCAGAGGAUCUAGCAGUAGACGACCUCUAUGACCAUACGGUAUUAUUACAGACAUCAGAGAAUGCUUCUCUCUCCAACCUCCUGAAGUGGAUCUUGGGGUUCUGGAUGCUCCCAGCAGGUACAGAAACAUGACAGUCUAAGCUACUGAGACCUCAUAAGGCAAAGGCUGUGCAAGGUAUAGUGGGCUGGGAGGGGUGUGAGCAGAUACUGAAUUCCAGCAGCUCAAUCUAUUGGCAGUUUCUACUUAAGUAAUUUGGAUAGCCUUUUGGAGCCUCAGGUGCUUCCCUUGCUAAAUGAGAAUCUUAUACCAAAUAUGAGGUUUCAUGAAAAUGAAACCAAAUGAAUGAAAUGAGAUGGUUCAGUCUUACUUUCUUCAAAGUAGUUUUAAUGAGGUG
rnacentral:lncRNA from 1 species